GGUAAACUUACUACUUUCUUGUGGGACAGAAGGACCUUAAAAUAUUCAUAUUACUUAAUGAAUAUGUUAAGGACCAGGCUAGAGUAUUUUCUAAGCUGGAAACUUAGUGUGCCUCGGAAAAGGCCGCAAGUUGCUUACUCCGAGUAGCUGUGCUAGCUCUGUCAGACUGUAGGAUCAUGUCUGCAACUUUUAGAAAUAGUGCUUUAUAUUGCAGCAGUCUUUUAUAUUUGACUUUUUUUUUAAUAGCAUUAAAAUUGCAGAUCAGCUCACUCUGAAACUUUAAGGGUACCAGAUAUUUUCUAUACUGCAGGAUUUCUAAUGACAUUGAAAGACUUUUAAACAGCCUUAGUAAAUUAUCUUUCUAAUGCUCUGUGAGGCCAAACAUUUAUGUUCAGAUUGAAAUUUAAAUUAAUAUCAUUCAAAAGGAAACAAAAAAUGUUGAGUUUUAAAAAUCAGGAUUGACUUUUUUCUCCAAAACCAUACAUUUAUAGGCAAAUUGUGUUCUUUAUCACUUCUGAGCAAAUACUCAGAUUUAAAAUUACUUUAAAGUCCUGGUACUUAACAGGCUAACGUAGAUAAACACCUUAAUAAUCUCAGUUAAUACUGUAUUUCAAAACACAUUUAACUGUUUUCUAAUGCUUUGCAUUAUCAGUUACAACCUAGAGAGAUUUUGAGCCUCAUAUUUCUUUGAUACUUGAAAUAGAGGGAGCUAGAACACUUAAUGUUUAAUCUGUUAAACCUGCUGCAAGAGCCAUAACUUUGAGGCAUUUUCUAAAUGAACUGUGGGGAUCCAGGAUUUGUAAUUUCUUGAUCUAAACUUUAUGCUGCAUAAAUCACUUAUCGGAAAUGCACAUUUCAUAGUGUGAAGCACUCAUUUCUAAACCUUAUUAUCUAAGGUAAUAUAUGCACCUUUCAGAAAUUUGUGUUCGAGUAAGUAAAGCAUAUUAGAAUAAUU
rnacentral:lncRNA from 1 species